rnacentral:rRNA from 1 species
UACAGAGACUGCAAGCGUUGUCCGGAAUCAUUGGGCGUAAAGAGCGUGUAGGCGGCCCGGUAAGUCCGCUGUGAAAGUCCAGGGCUCAACCCUGGGAUGCCGGUGGAUACUGUCGGGCUCGAGUCCGGAAGAGGAGUGUGGAAUUCCUGGUGUAGCGGUGAAAUGCGCAGAUAUCAGGAGGAACACCAAUGGCGAAGGCAGCACUCUGGGACGUGACUGACGCUGAGACGCGAAAGCGUGGGGAGCAAACAGG